rnacentral:snRNA from 1 species
UCUAUUUUAAAAGUGACCAUUGGA